rnacentral:misc_RNA from 1 species
UUGAGUUUUAUAAGUAGAAGUUUGUUGUGAAUGCAACUAAUUUCUAUGAUUAUUCUCUUAUCCCCUUUGAUAUUAUUUCUUAGUUGCUUUGGUAGUAGUUUGAUUACUAUUACCAAGGGAAGUUAUAAACUCUUUGAAGCCAAUAUAGUUGGAGAAUGAUUUGUCAGACUUUUAUUUUUAUAAUAUUAAUUA